UACGAAGGGGGCUAGCGUUGUUCGGAUUUACUGGGCGUAAAGCGCACGUAGGCGGAUCUUUAAGUCAGAGGUGAAAUCCCAAGGCCCAACCUUGGAACUGCCUUUGAUACUGGGGAUCUUGAGUCCGGGAGAGGUGAGUGGAACUGCGAGUGUAGAGGUGAAAUUCGUAGAUAUUCGCAAGAACACCAGUGGCGAAGGCGGCUCACUGGCCCGGUACAGACGCUGAGGUGCGAAAGCGUGGGGAGCAAACAGG
rnacentral:rRNA from 1 species